rnacentral:rRNA from 1 species
AUUGAACGCUGGCGGCAGGCUUAACACAUGCAAGUCGAGCGAGCGGCGGACGGGUGAGUAAUGUCUGGGAAACUGCCUGAUGGAGGGGGAUAACUACUGGAAACGGUGGGUAAUACCGCAUACCAUCAGAUUGCCCCGAAUGGGAUUGGCUAGUAGGUGGGGUAAUGGCUCACCUGGGCGACGAUCCCUAGCUGGUCUGAGAGGAUGACCAGCCACACUGGAACUGAGACACGGUCCAGACUCCUACGGGAGGCAGCAGUGGGGAAUAUUGCACAAUGGGCGCAAGCCUGAUGCAGCCAUGCCGCGUGUGUGAAGAAGGCCUUCGGGUUGUAAAGCACUUUCAGCGAGGAGGCGUUACUCGCAGAAGAAGCACCGGCUAACUCCGUGCCAGCCGCCGCGGUAAUAC